rnacentral:ncRNA from 2 species
GAGGCACGCGCGGGAGAGUGUAGCGGGCCACGGCCCGCCGCCGCCGAAGGAGCAACCGCCCCGGAAUCUCUCAGGUCACAGGACCGCGCGAGCCGA